rnacentral:rRNA from 1 species
UACGGAGGUGGCAAGCGUUGCUCGGAAUCACUGGGCGUAAAGGGCGCGUAGGCGGGGAGGUAAGUCGGGUGUGAAAUCCCUCGGCCCAACCGAGGAACUGCGCCCGAGACUGCUUCUCUUGAGUCCCGGAGAGGAAGAUGGAAUUCCCGGUGUAGCGGUGAAAUGUGUAGAGAUCGGGAGGAACACCGGUGGCGAAGGCGGUCUUCUGGACGGUGACUGACGCUGAGGCGCGAAAGCUGGGGGAGCAAACGGG